GAUGAAGAACGUAGCGAAAUGCGAUAAGUAAUGUGAAUUGCAGAAUUCAGUGAACCAUCGAAUCUUUGAACGCACAUUGCGCCCGGCAGUAAUCUGCCGGGCAUGCCUGUCCGAGCGUCAUUUCUCCCCUCGAGCGCAGCUUUCCCCCCCGGGGGAGGGCCGCGCCCGGUGUUGGGGCGCUACGGAGGAGCCCAGCGCUCCCCCGUAGGCCCCGAAAUGUAGUGGCGGUCCCGCCGCGGCGCCCCCUGCGUAGUAGUUUUACAACUCGCACCGGGAGCGCGGCGCGUCCACGUCCGUAAAACACCCAACUUCUGAAAUGUUGACCUCGGAUCAGGUAGGAAUACCCGCUGAACUUAAGCAUAUCAAUAAGCGGAGGA
rnacentral:misc_RNA from 1 species